UACGAAAGGGGCAAGCGUUGUUCGGAAUUACUGGGCGUAAAGGGCGCGUAGGCGGCCGAUCAAGUCAGGCGUGAAAUUCCCGGGCUCAACCUGGGGGCUGCGCUUGAUACUGAUUGGCUUGAAUGCGGGAGAGGAUAGUGGAAUUCCCAGUGUAGAGGUGAAAUUCGUAGAUAUUGGGAAGAACACCGGUGGCGAAGGCGGCUAUCUGGCCCGUAAUUGACGCUGAGGCGCGAAAGCGUGGGGAGCAAACAGG
rnacentral:rRNA from 1 species